ACCUUGAAAAAUUAAAGGGACUGAGCUACACAAGAUACAGAAUCUAGCGAUAAAGAUGAAAUUAAGUCAAUAGAAACUACCCGUGAAAACUCUCAAAAAUAGAGACAACUAAAACGGAUUAGAUACCCGUGUAAGCUCUAAUAAACACUAUGAUCCCAGGUACAUACUAAGUUUCCUUAGAAAACCUAAAAAAUAUGGCGGUAGUAGACACCUACAGAGAGGCUUGAAUUUAUAACCCGACAAUCCCCGUUGCAUCUUACCUUAGUCUUAGACUUGUAUACCGUCGUCUGAGUUUCACCAAAACGUGAAAACUUAAAUGUUUUAAAAGAAAUAUACGUCAGAUCCAGGCACAGUAGUACUUUGGACUUGUUCAAGCUUCAAUAAAUAUUUUUAUGACAAAAUAAGAUGAAACCUUUAUCUUUAAGAGAACUUGUAUUCAAUUACCCCUAAAAAUGGGGUCAUAAAUAAUGGUAAGCUACUGCGUACAAAUCGCCCGUCACUCUCUC
rnacentral:rRNA from 1 species